GAAGGUUAAAAGCAAAUCCAUUGAAAGAUGGAGACGCAAAGCUAUCAGUCUAAAGCAAUGAUUAUUGCCAUGAUUGUCAGGUUGCCAAA
rnacentral:ncRNA from 1 species